rnacentral:rRNA from 1 species
GUGCCAGCAGCCGCGGUAAUACGUAGGGUGCGAGCGUUAAUCGGAAUUACUGGGCGUAAAGCGUGCGCAGGCGGCUUUGCAAGACAGAGGUGAAAUCCCCGGGCUCAACCUGGGAACUGCCUUUGUGACUGCAAGGCUAGAGUACGGCAGAGGGGGAUGGAAUUCCGCGUGUAGCAGUGAAAUGCGUAGAUAUGCGGAGGAACACCGAUGGCGAAGGCAAUCCCCUGGGCCUGUACUGACGCUCAUGCACGAAAGCGUGGGGAGCAAACA